rnacentral:lncRNA from 1 species
GGCAUUGGAUGAUGAUGAGAAGGGAGAAGGAGGCAUUGAGAAGAAGUUUCUUGAUGUAAGAAAGAAAGCACCUUACAUCCUUUUUCAUGUCAAAGACUCUUCAUGCCCAAACAAUUUUUUGUCACAUACAAACUUGCUCCUUACCAUCCCAACCACUUCAUCACACCCUUAAAGAUCUUAUUUCUUUUGAUCUUAGCCAUUCAAACCAA